UGAGCCGGACAGAUACUGCGAUUUACAGACGAUUUCUCUACUUGAAGAGCUAUUGUUCACUUGCGUGUAAGAAAAAAGAAAAACAAAAGGAAAGAAAAAGAAGAAAAGAAAAAAGAGAAAGAAAAGAAAAGAUGCGAUUCCAGCCCCUUUUUUGGGUAUUUUUUAUUUUUGCCAUGAGUCUCCUUUUUAUCAGUGAACAGAAACCAGUUAACUUUCCCAGGAGAAGAAAACUAUACAGACACAACUGCUUUCGCAGGAGAUGCAUUCCACUUCAUUCUCGAGUGCCCUUCCCAUGAGGAAGGACUUAGUUCCUUGGAUGUGAGGCACCUUACUUCUAUUGAC
rnacentral:lncRNA from 1 species